rnacentral:rRNA from 1 species
AACGAACGCUGGCGGCAGGCUUAACACAUGCAAGUCGAACGCCCCGCAAGGGGAGUGGCAGACGGGUGAGUAACGCGUGGGAACGUGCCCUUCGCUUCGGAAUAGCCCCGGGAAACUAGGAGUAAUACCGAAUACGCCGUAUUGGGAAAGAUUUAUCGGCGAAGGAUCGGCCCGCGUCUGAUUAGCUAGUUGGUGGGGUAAAGGCCCACCAAGGCGACGAUCAGUAGCUGGUCUGAGAGGAUGAUCAGCCACGUUGGGACUGAGACACGGCCCAAACUCCUACGGGAGGCAGCAGUGGGGAAUCUUGCGCAAUGGGCGAAAGCCUGACGCAGCCAUGCCGCGUGAAUGAUGAAGGUCUUAGGAUUGUAAAAUUCUUUCACCGGGGACGAUAAUGACGGUACCCACAGAAGAAGCCCCGGCUAACUUCGUGCCAGCCGCCGCGGUAAGAC